rnacentral:misc_RNA from 1 species
GGAAGUAAAAGCCGUAACAAGGUUUCCGUAGGUGAACCUGCGGAAGGAUCAUUCAUAAUAAAGUGUUUUAUGGCACUUUUUAAAAAUCCAUAUCCACCUUGUGUGCAAUGUUAGAUCUCGUCAAUCUUGGCGGGAUUUUUAUACAUCAACUCAUUCUUUAACUAAUUUGUCUGAAAAAUAUUAUGAAUACUUAAUUCAAAAUACAACUUUCAACAACGGAUCUCUUGGCUCUC